UUUAUCGGAGAGUUUGAUCCUGGCUCAGGACGAACGCUGGCGGCGUGCCUAAUACAUGCAAGUCGAGCGGACAGAUGGGAGCUUGCUCCCUGAUGUUAGCGGCGGACGGGUGAGUAACACGUGGGUAACCUGCCUGUAAGACUGGGAUAACUCCGGGAAACCGGGGCUAAUACCGGAUGCUUGUUUGAACCGCAUGGUUCAAACA
rnacentral:rRNA from 1 species